rnacentral:lncRNA from 1 species
GAUCUGAUUGUUCUUCUUGAAAGUGCUAGCUCACGUGACCUUCUUCUUGACUGAUCUGGAUCCUUUUUUCAAAUCUUUGAAAUCUUUUCAGAGAUUGAAGAUAGACUUCUGGAGGAGAUAAAGAGGUGAAAGAAAUAUGGAGAAGAAAUUAUUUUUUCUCUUAUUUUUCUCUCUUCCCAAAUCCAUCGGAAUAAAAUCCUAGAAGACUAGAUUUUGCGCACACCCCA